rnacentral:ncRNA from 2 species
GCGGAGACGGAAGUUUCCGUUCACUCCUCACACCACACUCCGCCUAAACCUGUUUGGUUUAGGCGGUU